rnacentral:rRNA from 1 species
AGUGAACGCUGGCGGUAGGCCUAACACAUGCAAGUCGAACGGCAGCACAGUAAGAGCUUGCUCUUACGGGUGGCGAGUGUCGGACGGGUGAGGAAUACAUCGGAAUCUACUUUUUCUUGGGGGAUAACGUAGGGAAACUUACGCUAAUACCGCAUACUACCUACGGGUGAAAGCAUGGGAUCUUCUGACCUUGCGCGAUUGAAUGAGCCGAUGUCGGAUUAGCUAGUUGGCGGGGUAAAGGCCCACCAAUGCGACGAUCCGUAGCUGGUCUGAGAGGAUGAUCAGCCAAACUGGAACUGAGACACGGUCCAGACUACUACGGGAGGCAGCAGUGGGGAAUAUUGGACAAUGGGAGAAAGCCUGAUCCAGCAAUACCGCGUGGGUGAAGAAGGACUUCGGGUUGUAAAGCCCUUUUGUUGGGAAAGAAAAGCGGCAGGUUAAUACCCCGAUGUUCUGACGGUACCCAAAGAAUAAGCACCGGCUAACUUCGUG